GCUGGGUGCGAUGGCUCACGCCUGUAAUCCCAGCACUUGGGAGGCCGAGGCGGGUGGAUCACCUGAGGUCAGGAGUUUAAGACCAGCCUGGCCAACAUGGUGAGACCCUGUCUCUA
rnacentral:SRP_RNA from 1 species